rnacentral:rRNA from 1 species
AACUUGGAGAUAGCUGGUUCUCUCCGAAAUAGCUUUAGGGCUAGCGUCGAUGUUAAGUCUCUUGGAGGUAGAGCACUGUUUGGGUGAGGGGUCCAUCCCGGAUUACCAAUCUCAGAUAAACUCCGAAUGCCAAUGAGAUAUAAUCGGCAGUCAGACUGCGAGUGCUAAGAUCCGUAGUCGAAAGGGAAACAGCCCAGACCACCAGCUAAGGUCCCAAAAUAUAUGUUAAGUGGAAAAGGAUGUGGGGUUGCACAGACAACUAGGAUGUUAGCUUAGAAGCAGCUAUUCAUUCAAAG